UGGGGAUGAACGUCAAGUCAGUAUGGCCCUUUAUGUCCAGGGCUACACACACGGCUACAAUGGCCGGUACAGAGGGUAGCCAAGCCGCGAGGCGGAGCCAAGUCCCAGAAAGCCCGGUCUCAGUUCAGAUUGCAGGCUGCAACCCGCCUGCAUGAAGAUGGAGUUGCUAGUAACCGCAGGUCAGCUAUACUGCGGUGAAUACGUUCCCGGGGCUU
rnacentral:rRNA from 1 species